rnacentral:pre_miRNA from 1 species
CGCUAAAAGUCGUGAUCUUUAGCGGCGUUUGUGAUAAAAGCGCCGCUAAAGGCCAUGAUCUUUAGCGG